UACGAGUGCCUCAAGCGUUAUCCGGAAUCAUUGGGCGUAAAGGUUGUGUAGGCGGUUGUAUUAGUCUUCUGUUAAAUUCUUCGGCUUAACCGGGGGCAUGCAGGGGAAACGGUACGACUAGAGGAUGCGAGGGGUCUGUGGAAUUCAUAGUGUAGCGGUAAAAUGCGUUGAUAUUAUGGAGAACACCAAAAGCGAAGGCAGCAGACUGGAGCACUCCUGACACUGAAACAAGAAAGCGUGGGUCGCGAAUGGG
rnacentral:rRNA from 1 species